rnacentral:misc_RNA from 1 species
CCUCCUUACCUAUACGACUAACUCAAUACCUAAAGUGCAGAGAUGCAUGUGAGUGUUCACACAGAUUACUUGAUAGAAGAAAGAGAAAGAUAUCGAAAGGUAUUUUUGAGGAUUUUGAUUGUUAAUCAAGGCGCUUGAGGAGGAAGGAAGGAUGUGUAGUACACUACAUGACGACCGAACGACGAAAGCAACGCUGAGUAACAGUGAAAAGACCAAAAAGAAUGGGUCUGUAGCUCAGCUGGUUAGAGCGCACCCCUGAUAAGGGUGAGGUCGGUGGUUCAAGUCCACUCUGACCCACCAAAUCUUCAUUUUAUCUGCGUUAAUUAAAUACUCGUUUAGUGAACUAAACGUCGCAUUGAAUUAACUUGUUUAAAAAUUCGAUUUUGGCUUUCGCCAAUCUUAUGAUUGGUUACUUUGAUAAUUUUAUCUCAACUGGCAUGUAAAUGGGGGCUAUUAGCUUCAACUGGGAAGAGCCGCCUGCCUUUGCACGCAAGGAAGUCUGCGGUUUCCAAUCCCCGCAUAACCUCCACCAUUUUACCCUUAUUCAAUGACCAAUAAAGCCUUAAUGCCAUUAGGGUUUAAGAAAA